rnacentral:lncRNA from 1 species
ACUGGCUCUCCCAAUCAUGACAAGGCUCUCCCAGUCAUGACAAGGAUCUCCCAUCAUGACAAGGCUCUCCCAAUCAUGCCUAGGCUCUCCCAAUCAUGACAAGGCUCUCCCACCUUCCCUUUGUAUUUGCCUCUACCAUGUGCAUACAUUCCAGCCGUUAGCUCUCAGGAUUCUACCCUUUCCGUGUGCCAGAAGGUCUCUUAACCAGGAAUGCUUAGCCUCCCCCACCUAGGAGUCAAGGUCUUGUCCUUGAAAGGUACCAAGCAUCUCCGAGUAGCUACCUGGGUGAGGUGAAUGAGUACAGGACCUCCUUUUUUAAAUACAAGGCUGUAACUACGUUUAACCCUGAACAUGUAGCAAAGACUGUUGAGAGGCAACCCCAGGCAUCCCACCGAGAUCCCAGAGAGUCUGAGCAACUGCCAGUGCACUUGACCCUGGACACAGUCAAAGGCAUUUGUCUUUGGGAAACCAGUCUGUGUCUGCCAACAUCCCUACAAAUUAAACGCAGAACAAGAAACCAGGACUAAUUUGACAAGUCUGGAGCUGUAGCUCACUUCAUUCCACCAAGGGAAGUAGAAAGACAAGAGAACAGACGACCGAGGCGGCCAUGCCUAGAAGGGAUUUUGCCUGUGUUGCAGCUAACCACCUCCUUCACCAUAUAGCUUUGCUUUAGCCAGCCUUUCACUUAGCUCUCGCCUCUCAUAUUGCUAUUAGCAGUCUCAGCAUAGUGAAUGCCACUUCAUCUGCUGCCUCUCAGAAUUCAUUUCUCAAAAAGCAACAAACAAACAAGCCAAGUUGUGCUAUGCUGGGCCCAG